CGUAAACCCACACCGACCCCUUUAACAGUACUGAGGACCUCUAUAAUCCUAUAGAGCCUUUUAUGCUAAAACUAGUAACAAGAGAUCUCCUCUCCUAAUGCAAACAUAACCCAGCAAGAACCAAUCACUGGCAAUUAACAGAAUAAUAUAAAUGUAGCAACCUCACUAGAAAACUCUACUUUAACUAACUGUUAACCUAACACCAGAGCAUUUCAAGAAAGAUUAAAAGGGGGAGAAGGAAUUCGGCAAAGAAUCAGCCUCGCCUGUUUACCAAAAACAUCGCCUCUCGAUCCCAUGAGAGGUCCAGCCUGCCCAGUGACUCUGUUCAACGGCCGCGGUAUCCUAACCGUGCGAAGGUAGCGUAAUCAUUUGUCUUCUAAAUAAAGACCUGUAUGAAAGGCAUCACGAAGGCUAAACUGUCUCCUCCCCCUAAUCAGUGAACCUAAUCUCCCCGUGAAGAAGCGGGGAUUCUUCUAUAAGACGAGAAGACCCUAUGGAGCUUUAAACAUCAUAACACUGCCACAACUAACAACUAUCCAGAUAUUUCUCCCCAUGGCACCCUGAUUAUAAGUUUUUGGUUGGGGUGACCGCGGAGAAAAAUUUAUCCUCCACAAUGAAAGGGGCCCCCCCCUAAACAAUAAGUUACAACUUUAUGUAUCAACAAUUUGACAUCCAUUGACCCAACAAAUUGAUCAACGAACCAAGUUACCCUAGGGAUAACAGCGCAAUCCACUUCGAGAGCCCCUAUCGACAAGUGGGCUUACGACCUCGAUGUUGGAUCGGGAUAACCUAGUGGUGCAGCCGCUACUAA
rnacentral:rRNA from 1 species